UGGAAAAUUGCAAACCCUUGCGUAUGUAGUUUGGAAAGUCUCCAAAUAUACCGAGAUAAAGAAAGAAAUACUAAAAUUUGAACUCAGAUACUGUCUACUUCCCAAGAGGUAGAGCAGACUUGAAAUCAAGUUGGUACAGUUUAAUGGAACAAGGAUUUUCCUCCCAACAUAUAUACAAGAUAAUUAGCUGCGAAAAACUGCCAAGUGGCUCUUAGUGCUCCCUGCCAUAUGGUCAGCCAUUCCUUAAAAUUCAAACUUCAGCUUCUUCUUUUCAGAAUGAUCCUUCUAUGAUCCAACAGCAACUACUGGACAAUUCAAUUCUAAGAGUCCAUACAAAAAUAGCAUUACCAACAUGC
rnacentral:lncRNA from 1 species